AGAACAAACUGUCGGUCGUGCCUUGGUACGUACUGGCAUUAUUGAUUUCUCCCUUCUGAAGAACCACGAUGUCAUUAAUUUGGUGUCUUGGGGAAUCAGGACUGUUACUUUGAAAAAAUUAGAGUGUUUAAAGCAGACGCACGCUUGAAUACAUUAGCAUGGAAUAAUGAAAUAGGACGUUCGAUCCUAUUUUGUUGGUUUCUAGGAUUGACGUA
rnacentral:rRNA from 1 species